rnacentral:rRNA from 1 species
GACGAACGCUGGCGGCGUGCUUAACACAUGCAAGUCGAACGGAAAGGCCCCUUUGGGGGUACUCGAGUGGCGAACGGGUGAGUAACACGUGAGUAACCUGCCCUUGACUUCGGGAUAACUUCAGGAAACUGGGGCUAAUACCGGAUAGGAAUCCUUGCUGCAUGGUGGGGGUUGGAAAGCUUCUGCGGUUUUGGAUGGACUCGCGGCUUAUCAGCUUGUUGGUGGGGUAGUGGCUUACCAAGGCUUUGACGGGUAGCCGGCCUGAGAGGGCGACCGGUCACAUUGGGACUGAGAUACGGCCCAGACUCCUACGGGAGGCAGCAGUGGGGAAUAUUGCACAAUGGGCGGAAGCCUGAUGCAGCAACGCCGCGUGCGGGAUGACGGCCUUCGGGUUGUAAACCGCUUUCAGCAGGGGCGAAGCUUGUGGUGACGGUACCUGCAGAAGAAGCACCGGCUAACUACGUG